UGGGGAAUUUUGGACAAUGGGCGCAAGCCUGAUCCAGCCAUGCCGCGUGAGUGAAGAAGGCCUUCGGGUUGUAAAGCUCUUUUGUCAGGGAGCAAAGCCUUGCUUCUAAUAAAGGUAAGGGAUGAGAGUACCUGAAGAAUAAGCACCGGCUAACUACGUGCCAGCAGCCGCGGUAAUACGUAGGGUGCGAGCGUUAAUCGGAAUUACUGGGCGUAAAGCGUGCGCAGGUGGUUUUGUAAGCCAGAUGUGAAAUCCCCGGGCUCAACCUGGGAAUGGCAUUUGGGACUGCAAGGCUAGAGUGUGGCAGAGGGGGGUGGAAUUCCGCGUGUAGCAGUGAAAUGCGUAGAGAUGCGGAGGAACACCGAUGGCGAAGGCAGCCCCCUGGGUUGACACUGACACUCAUGCACGAAAGCGUGGGGAGCAAACAGG
rnacentral:rRNA from 1 species